rnacentral:piRNA from 1 species
UAAACUACAUGCAACACAGGGAUUCCUGGCC